UAGACAGCUUUGGCGCCGUUUGUGUUCUGC
rnacentral:piRNA from 1 species